UACGAAGGGUGCAAGCGUUAAUCGGAAUUACUGGGUUUAAAGGGUGCGUAGGUGGCCUGUUAAGUCAGGGGUGAAAGACGGUAGCUCAACUAUCGCAGUGCCCUUGAUACUGAUGGGCUUGAAUGAACUAGAGGUAGGCGGAAUGUGACAAGUAGCGGUGAAAUGCAUAGAUAUGUCACAGAACACCAAUUGCGAAGGCAGCUUACUAUGGUUUUAUUGACACUGAGGCACGAAAGCGUGGGGAUCAAACAGG
rnacentral:rRNA from 1 species